rnacentral:rRNA from 1 species
ACAGCAGUCGCCACGGGAAUACGUAGGGUGCGAGCGUUAAUCGGAAUUACUGGGCGUAAAGCGUGCGCAGGCGGUUGUGUAAGACAGGUGUGAAAUCCCCGGGCUUAACCUGGGAACUGCGCUUGUGACUGCACAGCUAGAGUAUGGCAGAGGGGGGUGGAAUUCCACGUGUAGCAGUGAAAUGCGUAGAGAUGUGGAGGAACACCGAUGGCGAAGGCAGCCCCCUGGGCCAAUACUGACGCUCAUGCACGAAAGCGUGGGGAGCAAACAGGAUUAGAUACCCGUGUAGUCCCUGUCUCUUAUAC